rnacentral:rRNA from 1 species
UACGAAGGGGGCUAGCGUUGCUCGGAAUGACUGGGCGUAAAGGGCGCGUAGGCGGGAUGCAAGUCGGUCGUGAAAUCCCUCGGCUCAACUGAGGAGCGUCGAUCGAAACUGCCGUUCUUGAGGGUUGCAGAGGAGACUGGAAUUCCCGGUGUAGCGGUGAAAUGUGUAGAGAUCGGGAGGAACACCGGUGGCGAAGGCGGGUCUCUGGGCAACUCCUGACGCUGAGGCGCGAAAGCGUGGGGAGCAAACGGG